CCAAACUCACUCAGUGCCCAGUUGCAGUCCCAGGCUGGUGUUUUUUCUGUCUAGCACAGUAACAUUCGGGAUGCUAUGACUGCCUUGAUCUGUCAAGGGCAAUGCAGGUGCUCAGGUAUACAGGG